rnacentral:piRNA from 1 species
UCGGAGAUGACCUUUUAACCA